UGAUGCUGGAAAACUAUAGUCACCUUGUCUCAGUGGGUUACCAUGUGAAUAAGCCAAAUGCAGUCUUCAAGUUGAAGCAAGGAAAAGAGCCAUGGAUAUUAGAAGUAGAAUUUCCACAUCGGGGCUUCCCUGAGUUUCACUCUUGUUGUCCAGGCUGGAGUCCAAUGUUGCCAUCUCAGCUCACUGCAACCUCCACCUCCCAGGUUCAAGCAAUUCUCCUCCCUCAGCCUCCCGAGUAGCUGGGAUUACAGAAGACCUAUGGAGCAUUCAUGAUCUAGAAGCAAGAUACCAGGAAAGCCAAGCUGGAAAUUCAAGGCAAGUUCAAGAAUUAAUGUUUAAGAUAGAAGAUUUGUAAGCAAGAGUCUUAAAGGAGUUACUAGAAAUGGGAGGGCACUAGUUAAUACUAAACGUGAGAAAACUAACACUGCAGAGCAAAUCCCAAGGAAUAUAAUCCAAAUGGGACUGCCCCUUUUCAUAGAGACCUUGUGCAGGAUCGGGAGAUUGAAACUUUGAAGUGGUCUUUUUACUCUUCUGAAUUAAGUAAUGAAAGGGAGUCUCUAUUACACAAAAUAGAAUGCAGGCAAUUGAGAGACCCUGUGAAUAGAAUGCAAAUGCAGAUUCACCUUACCAAAUGUUAAACUACAGUGCAGGUCAGAGAAUGCUCACAGUGGAGAAACCCUAUGGAUCCAGUAAAUAUGGGAACAUCUCUAGAAAUCGGUCCUCAGAGGUACUUGG
rnacentral:lncRNA from 1 species